GACGAACGCUGGCGGCGUGCUUAACACAUGCAAGUCGAACGGAAAGGCCCUGCUUUUGUGGGGUGCUCGAGUGGCGAACGGGUGAGUAACACGUAAGUAACCUGCCCUUGACUUUGGGAUAACUUCAGGAAACUGGGGCUAAUACCGGAUAGGAGCUCCUGCUGCAUGGUGGGGGUUGGAAAGUUUCGGCGGUUGGGGAUGGACUCGCGGCUUAUCAGCUUGUUGGUGGGGUAGUGGCUUACCAAGGCUUUGACGGGUAGCCGGCCUGAGAGGGUAACCGGCCACAUUGGGACUGAGAUACGGCCCAGACUCCUACGGGAGGCAGCAGUGGGGAAUAUUGCACAAUGGGCGGAAGCCUGAUGCAGCAACGCCGCGUGCGGGAUGACGGCCUUCGGGUUGUAAACCGCUUUCGCCUGUGACGAAGCGUGAGUGACGGUAAUGGGUAAAGAAGCACCGGCUAACUACGUG
rnacentral:rRNA from 1 species